rnacentral:lncRNA from 1 species
GAAGCCUUGCAAGAACAGCUUCUCUCCAUUUCAGUUAUAGAAAAUAGAGUGAUGUUUAUAGAAAAAUCUACAACCCUUGCUUCUAUCCAAGUUUGGUAAGAGUAAAUUAAGCAAAGCAUUGCGUCUCUUCUAGGUUCGUUAGAGGAGAAUCAACAGAUAUAGAUACUCAGGGCUCUGUGCUCCAUCUUCUAAAAGGUAAUUUUGGUAUCCCUGCUUGAUAGCAUAGCAACAAAAUCAACUUCCUUUUCUUAUUGCUCUUUGUAACCUUGCUGCGGUUGAUAAUAUUCGGACGCGUUGUUGGAGUUCCCAACUCUUCAAGGUAAAAUUUGUUAUUAUAUCUAUGAAUUUCUUUGUGGAAUGAAUAAUUUUUUAAAAUUUUGUAUUUUCUCAAAUUUUAGGUUUCCGUUUAGGUUUUUCUUCUUUUUUGGUGUUCUUGAACUUACAUAGAUAAGCUGUAUUAUAUUUUGCCAUUGUCAUAUGUUAUGUGUACUGCUUUGAGCACUUCUUAUGGUAACCUUGAUUGAAAUAAUAAAAAGUGUGAUGAUGAUGAUUAUUGAUUAAGUUAUUAACCUGAUAAUUCUGAUAACAAAAUCUCCACAGUUCUUAUGAUUCAAAUACCUGCAUCAUUUAACGUCUGCUUGUCAUAUGUUAUGUGUACUAAUUUUUCGUUUCUAUUUAAUCAUUUAUAUUGUGAUUCAAGACACUGAAAAACUUAAGCUUCUGUACUAAUAAGAAUCAGACAGUUAACAUGAAUCCAAAUACUUAUAGCUACUUUUUUUUAUUGCAUCACUUAACAUCUGCUUGUCAUAUGUUAUAUGUACUGAGUUGCUCGUUUAUACUUUUCUCUAUAUUUUUUUAUAGUUCAACACACCGAAAAACUUAAUCUGCUGCACUAAUAAAAAUCUAUCAGACCACGAAUCUAAAAUACGAUUUGACAGCUUCAUCUUUUUAUCGUCUGCAUCAGUUAUUGUCUACUCAUUAUACAUUAUGUGUACUGAUUUGCUUAUCUAUAUUUUUCUCUAUUUUUUCUUGUGGUUCAAGACACUGAAAUACAUAAGCUACCGCACUAAUUAGAAUUCAACAGUUAAUAUUAAUCUAAAACACUGUUUGAUAACUUUUUUUGGGUCUACACCAUUUAACGUCUGCUUGUCAUAUUUUAUGUGUACUCAUUUGCUCAUUUCUGGUUUUCUCUAUGUUUUCUUAUGGUUCAAGACAUGGAAAAACUUAAGCUGCCAC